ACUCCUACGGGAGGCAGCAGUGGGGAAUAUUGCACAAUGGGGAAACCCUGAUGCAGCCAUGCCGCGUGUGUGAAGAAGGCCUUCGGUUGUAAAGCACUUUCAGUAGGGAGGAAGGUAGUGUAGUUAACACCUGCAUUAUUUGACGUUACCUACAGAAGAAGCACCGGCUAACUCCGUGCCAGCAGCCGCGGUAAUACGGAGGGUGCGAGCGUUAAUCGGAAUUACUGGGCGUAAAGCGCAUGCAGGCGGCCUGUUAAGUCAGAUGUGAAAGCCCGGGGGCUUAACCUCGGAAUUGCAUUUGAAACUGGCAGGCUAGAGUCUUGUGGAGGGGGUAGGAAUUUCAGGUGUAGCGGUGAAAUGCGUAGAGAUCUGAAGGAAUACCAGUGGCGAAGGCGGCCCCUGGACAAAGACUGACGCUCAGAUGCGAAAGCUGGGGAGCAAACAGGAUUAGAUACCCUGGUAGCACAGAG
rnacentral:rRNA from 1 species